GCAUCGCGGUGACAUGCACAUUCUACGUUCACGGUGAGGACGCUGGUCGCAAAAUCGGCGCCUUUCUCAGCAAAAUCAACCACUUAGCCUCCCCACCCCCCCUCUUAACUCACACAUGGAAGCAACCUCGACAACAGUGCACCGUUGUCGACGGCUCGAGAAUGCGCCUGAGUCUUGUAGCAACCGUGCAAAUGUCUCGUGCGUUUCCGCAUGGUUUGGGUCUUCGUAUGCGAGCCUACUAUCGGGGCACUUUACUGCGGUGAAUUUGACGGCUAAUCGAGAGCCCACUUACAAGGCCUGUCUUGCGUUGGAGGAGCCACCAUCGUGGAAUUUGGUGCAGUGUAUACGGGCUCAGUAAUGCAGGCUUCUUUAUGCGUGAGGGUUACCCGUGUCGUGGCGUGGUGGACUCUGAGAAAACAGCGGUGUCUGUGUGGUGUGCGAACUUAGAGAAUGUCGUGGCCGCUCUUCAGGAGAACUGCUACCGGACAAGCCACGUGGGCAAACUCGCCGACGUAAUGGCAUUCUCAGCACAUUGUCCUAUACGGUCGCCCAGUCCCGCUGGCUUUGGAAAUGUGCCAGCGUUUUCGUCGCCUUCCGCAGCUGUGAUGAGCUGCGAGAUCAUGGUGCCAGGAUCUAGUUCAACGUGAAAGGUCGCGUCUCCGGCAUUCCUGACUGCUCGAUCACCACGCGGCUUCCGCGCGGCGAAAAAACUGCCCUGCGAACAGCGCAGAGUCUGAAUGCAAGCCCGACCAAGGCGCCCCGAAAGUGAUAAAAAACUGCCGGCGACGCAAGCGCGAUGGACAGCAGCAGCUUGCAGCCCUUCGGAAACUGGAUUUGAGGAAACCCGGCCCGCUGCCUGCCGCCGCCGGUCGUCCCCGAGAUUUGUGCUUUCUUCAUUGUGCUCGAGGCGGCGUUUUGUCUCCGCCGUGGAGAUAUAGGGGACAGCGCGGCCGACCCGAGCAGGAAGGGGAACUGCGUCUUUUUCUUUCCGCGUCGCCUGCCGCCAGCAGCGGUGCGUCCUGCCACGAGGCAGGAAGGACUGCCGCUAUUUAUUCCGCCCCUUUCGUCGCAACGUAGCCCCCACCGCUCUCUCUCUCUCUCUCUCUCUCUCUCUCUCUCUCUCUCUCACGUCGCUGCAACAGCACCUCGCUCGCUGUGUAGAGAAUGGACUCGCAUCGACGACGCAUCUGUUGCGUUUGCGCGCAACGUGGUGUGUGUAACGUUCGGCUGCGGGUACAGCCUGUGCGUAACACGACUGCUGCGUAUGCACGCGAUGACCGAGUUUUGUAACGGAAAGAAAACAUCCUCCCGGUAGAUGAAGCUCGGGGAGCGUGCGACGACCAAUCGCGUAACAUUUGCCUGCCUUCGGCCAAUGCUGCUGGAGGCGGUACGUUUCGCUAGUUUUCGGGCUUACGCAUAUCCCGGUGGAAAGCAUGAACACUGCAACUAGAUAGAUAUCUUUCUUCAAAUAUUUUUACUUUCUUUUUUUAGCUGUAGAGAAAGCAACGCGGUUGGGCACUCCUCCACCAUGGGUAUACGUAAUGUGCCCCAAGUAACGUCGAACGAUAAAGGUUGCCGCAGUUAAAAUUAGCUGCAGCCGCGGCAUUCUCGGUAAAGACAAAACGCGUGCUUCAUCAACGCAGGCCUCUUUAGAAAGUAGAGUUCUAUUAAAUGUGUUGCCCGCACAUUCCUAUACUUCCGAUGGAAAUGAGCAAUGACGUGAGCAUUUUUUGCAAUCGGAGAGCAGCCGAAAUCGCGACAUGCGUGUAACGACGCACGAGGAGGAGGAGAAGUAGGAAAAAACUUUAUUCUGGUCCUGUACAAGGUGUUGCCACCUGCCUGGCUAGUCCCAUGUCGGGACCGGGAGGUCAAGCCUCCUAGCCCUAUCACGGGCGUACUGGACAGCCAGGACUUGAGGGAUAUGAUCUGAAGAUCUGAUCAUUCCUAAAAACCGAUUCCGGGAAAUGCCAGGGCCGAGCGACCCACACUCCCAGAGCAGAUGUUCAAGCGUGCAUAUCUCCUUUUCGCAUGCUUUGCAUAAA